rnacentral:rRNA from 1 species
AGAACGAACGCUGGCGGCAGGCCUCAAACAUGCAAGUCUAGGGGGGUAGCAAUACCCACCGGCGGACGGGUGCGUAACGCGUGGGAAUGUACCUAUUGGUUCGGAACAACACAGGGAAACUUGUGCUAAUACCGAAUGUGCCCGUAAGGGGAAAGAUUUAUCGCCAAUAGAUCAGCCCGCGUUCGAUUAGCUUGUUGGUGAGGUAAUGGCCCACCAAGGCGACGAUCGAUAGCUGUUCUGAGAGGAAGAUCAGCCACACUGGGACUGAGACACGGCCCAGACUCCUACGGGAGGCAGCAGUUGGGAAUCUUGGACAAUGGGGGAAACCCUGAUCCAGCCAUGCCGCGUGAGUGAUGAAGGCCUUCGGGUUGUAAAACUCUUUCGCGCACGACGAUAAUGACGGUAGUGCGAGAAGAAGCUCCGGCUAACUUCGCGCCAGCAGCCGC